UACAGAGGGUGCAAGCGUUGUUCGGAAUUAUUGGGCGUAAAGGGCGCGUAGGCGGCCGAUCAAGUCAGAUGUGAAAGUCCUGGGCUUAACCUGGGGACUGCAUUUGAUACUGAUUGGCUUGAAUGCAGGAGAGGAUAGCGGAAUUCCCAGUGUAGAGGUGAAAUUCGUAGAUAUUGGGAAGAACACCGGUGGCGAAGGCGGCUAUCUGGCCUGUAACUGACGCUGAGACGCGAAAGCGUGGGGAGCGAACCGG
rnacentral:rRNA from 1 species